UACGAAGGGGGCUAGCGUUGCUCGGAAUUACUGGGCGUAAAGCGUGCGUAGACGGUAGCGUAAGUCAGAUGUGAAAGCCCCGGGCUCAACCUGGGAACUGCAUUUGAGACUGCUCUGCUCGGGUGCGGAAGAGGGAAGCGGAAUUUCCGGUGUAGCGGUGAAAUGCGUAGAUAUCGGAAGGAACACCAGUGGCGAAGGCGGCUACCUGGACAAAUACUGACGCUGAGGCGCGAAAGCGUGGGGAUCAAACAGG
rnacentral:rRNA from 1 species